rnacentral:rRNA from 1 species
GGCAAAAGGGUGAGCAAUACAUAGACAACCUACCCGGGAGCCGGGGACAACCGUUGGAAACGACGGCUAAUACCGGAUGGCCCUGGCGGACGGCAUCGUCUGCCAGGUAAAGGAGGGGACCCUCGGCCUUCCACUCCUGGAGGGAUCUAUGUCCUAUCAGCUAGUUGGCGGGGUAAUGGCCCACCAAGGCGAUGACGGGUAGCCGGGCUGAGAGGUUGGCCGGCCACACUGGGACUGAGACACUGCCCAGACUCUUACGGGAGGCUGCAGUCGAGAAUCAUUCGCAAUGGGCGAAAGCCUGACGAUGCGACGCCGCGUGGAGGAUGAAGGCCUUCGGGUCGUAAACUCCUGUCAUGGGUUAGGAAAUGCCGGUGGGUCAAUACCCCGCCGGCUUGACAAAGGCUCAAGAGGAAGACACGGCUAACUACGUGCCAGCAGCUGCGGUAAUACGUAGGUGGCUAGCGUUGUUCGGAAUCACUGGGCAUAAAGGGCGUGUAGGCGGUUUGGUUAGUCGGUAGUGAAAGCCCUCGGCUCAACCGAGGAACUGUUGCCGAUACUGCCAGACUCGAGUUCGGGAGGGGAGAGUGGAACUCUUGGUGAGCGGUGAAAUGCGUUGAUAUCAAGAGGAACGCCGGCGGCGAAAGCGACUCUCUGGUCCGACACUGACGCUGAGGCGCGAAAGCCAGGGGAGCAAACGGGAUUAGAUACCCCGGUAGUCCUGGCCCUAAACGAUGGGCACUAGGUAGGGGGGAUUCCGAUGUUUUCCCUGCCGAAGCAAAUGUGCUAAGUGCCCCGCCUGGGGAGUACGGUCGCAAGGCCGAAACUCAAAGGAAUUGACGGGGGCUCACACAAGCGGUGGAGCAUGUGGUUUAAUUCGAAUCAACGCGAAGAACCUUACCAGGGCUAGAAAAACAGGUAGUACCCGCCCGAAAGGGUUGGGGAUCCAGCUUGCUGGAAGCCUGGUCCAGGUGUUGCAUGGCUGUCGUCAGCUCGUGUCGUGAGAUGUAGGGUUAAGUCCCGUAACGAGCGAAACCCCUGCCCCUAGUUGCCAUCGGGUCAUGCCGGGAACUCUAGGGGGACUGCCGCGUCAAAGUUGGAGGAAGGUGGGGACGACGUCAAGUCAUCACGGCCCUUACGUCCUGGGCUACACACGUGCUACAAUGGCCGGUACAAAGGGACGCAAUACCGCGAGGCGGAGCAAAUCCCCAAAGCCGGUCCCAGUUCGGAUUGAAGGCUGCAACUCGCCUUCAUGAAGCCGGAAUCGCUAGUAAUCGCGGGUCAUCAACACCGCGGUGAAUAUGUUCCUGAGCCUUGUACACACCGCCCGUCAAGCCACGAGAGCCGGUAGUACCCAAAGUCGUUAACCUAACCGCAAGGAGGGGGACGCCUAAGGUAGGACCGGUGAUUGGGACUAAGUCGUAACAAGGUA